GAUGAACGCUAGCGGCAGGCCUAAUACAUGCAAGUCGAGGGGUAUGGGUUGCUUGCAACCCAGAGACCGGCGCACGGGUGCGUAACGCGUAUGCAAUCUACCUUAAUCAGGGGGAUAGCCCGGAGAAAUCCGGAUUAACACCGCAUAACAUUGAGUUGUGGCAUCACAGUUCAAUCAAAUAUUUAUAGGAUUAAGAUGAGCAUGCGUGACAUUAGUUAGUUGGUGAGGUAACGGCUCACCAAGACCACGAUGUCUAGGGGAUCUGAGAGGAUGACCCCCCACACUGGUACUGAGCCACGGGCCAGACUCCUACGGGAGGCAGCAGUAAGGUAUAUUGGUCACUGGGCGCAAGCCUGAACCAGCCAUGCCGCGUGCAGGAAGACGGCCCUAUGGGUUGUAAACUGCUUUUGUACCGGAAUAAACCUUCUCUUGCGAGAGAAGCUGAACGUACGGUAAGAAUAAGGAUCGGCUAACUCCGUG
rnacentral:rRNA from 1 species